rnacentral:rRNA from 1 species
AACGAACGCUGGCGGCAGGCCUAACACAUGCCAGUCGAGCGCCCCGCCAGGGGAGCGGCGGUCUGGUGAGUAACGCGUGGGGAUAUGCCCUUUGCUACGGAAUAGUCUCGGUAAACUGGGGGUAAUACCGUAUACGCCCUUUGGGGGAAAGAUUUAUCGGCGAAGGAUUAGCCCGCGUUGGAUUAGGUAGUUGGUGGGGUAAUGGCCUACCAAGCCGACGAUCCAUAGCUGGGUUGAGAGGAUGAUCAGCCACACUGGGACUGAGACACGGCCCAGACUCCUACGGGAGGCAGCAGUGGGGAAUCUUAGACAAUGGGGGCAACCCUGAUCUAGCCAUGCCGCGUGAGUGAUGAAGGCCUUAGAGUUGUAAAGCUCUUUCAGCUGGGAAGAUAAUGACGGUACCAGAAGAAGAAGCCCCGGCUAACUCCGUG